GCGCGUAAUAUGAAGUGGACAAGAAUUCUUCUAGGUAAUUAUAUGCCUUGAUUACUUGUGCUCCCGUGAUCACAUUUAAGACUUUGCAAAUUGAAAAUCUAAUGAUGAUUACGAUUAGACGGAGACUUUAUUGUAAUGAACGGAAAAUGCUUUAAAUGAAAAAUGGUUGACAAUGUUUUGUGCCGUCAUGCUUUUGCUAAAAGACGUUUUAUGUCCUAAUUUAAUAAGAGGAAUUGGAAACCUUUGCUAAAAUCGCUACUGUUUUCAGUUUCAUCUAUUAUGGGAGAAAUACUCUGUGAACAUACAUAGUAAACGUACAUUAAAACAACAAAGUUAUUGGAACUCCAGUGCGAUAUAUGGGCGGCCGGGGGGCGAUACGCCGAAUACAGCUAAGAAAUGCAAGCAAGAAACCAAGGCACCGUUCGACACAUGUGGUUUAUUCAAGAGACUACCCAAGAAUUAUUAAGGAGGCGAACUCAAUCAUCAAAAGU